rnacentral:rRNA from 1 species
UGGGGGAUUUUGCACAAUGGGCGCAAGCCUGAUGCAGCGACGCCGCGUGAGGGAUGAAGGCCUUCGGGUUGUAAACCUCUUUCGCUGGGUUGAAAGGCCAUGCUUUGGGUGUGGUUGAUUUGAACUGGUAAAGAAGUACCGGCUAACUACGUGCCAGCAGCCGCGGUAAUACGUAGGGUACUAGCGUUGUCCGGAUUUAUUGGGCGUAAAGGGCUUGUAGGUGGUUUGUCGCGUCUGUCGUGAAAUCCUGUGGCUUAACCAUGGGCUUGCGGUGGGUACGGGCAGGCUUGAGUGCGGUAGGGGGGACUGGAAUUCCUGGUGUAGCGGUGGAAUGCGCAGAUAUCAGGAGGAACACCGGUGGCGAAGGCGGGUCUCUGGGCCGUUACUGACACUGAGGAGCGAAAGCGUGGGGAGCGAACAGG